AGUCGAGGGGUAGAAGGCUUCGGCCUUUGAGACCGGCGCACGGGUGCGUAACGCGUAUGCAAUCUGCCCUCUGCAGGGGGAUAGCCCGGAGAAAUCCGGAUUAAUACCCCAUAGCAUAUAGAAGUGGCCUCACUUCUAUAUUAAAGAUUUAUCGGCAGAGGAUGAGCAUGCGUCCCAUUAGCUAGUUGGUAUGGUAACGGCAUACCAAGGCAAUGAUGGGUAGGGGUCCUGAGAGGGAGAUCCCCCACACUGGUACUGAGACACGGACCAGACUCCUACGGGAGGCAGCAGUGAGGAAUAUUGGUCAAUGGUCGCAAGACUGAACCAGCCAUGCCGCGUGCAGGAUGACGGUCCUAUGGAUUGUAAACUGCUUUUGUACGGGAAGAAACCCCCUUACGUGUAAGGGGCUGACGGUACCGUAAGAAUAAGGAUCGGCUAACUCCGUGCCAGCAGCCGCGGUAAUACGGAGGAUCCAAGCGUUAUCCGGAAUCAUUGGGUUUAAAGGGUCCGUAGGCGGCUGUAUAAGUCAGUGGUGAAAUCCGGCAGCUCAACUGUCGAACUGCCAUUGAUACUGUACAGCUUGAAUUAUAAG
rnacentral:rRNA from 1 species